rnacentral:rRNA from 1 species
GACGAACGCUGGCGGCGUGCCUAAUACAUGCAAGUUGAGCGCUGAAGGUUGGUACUUGUACCAACUGGAUGAGCAGCGAACGGGUGAGUAACGCGUGGGGAAUCUGCCUUUGAGCGGGGGACAACAUUUGGAAACGAAUGCUAAUACCGCAUAAAAACUUUAAACACAAGUUUUAAGUUUGAAAGAUGCAAUUGCAUCACUCAAAGAUGAUCCCGCGUUGUAUUAGCUAGUUGGUGAGGUAAAGGCUCACCAAGGCGAUGAUACAUAGCCGACCUGAGAGGGUGAUCGGCCACAUUGGGACUGAGACACGGCCCAAACUCCUACGGGAGGCAGCAGUAGGGAAUCUUCGGCAAUGGACGAAAGUCUGACCAAGCAACGCCGCGUGAGUGAAGAAGGUUUUCGGAUCGUAAAACUCUGUUGGUAGAGAAGAACGUUGGUGAGAGUGGAAAGCUCAUCAAGUGACGGUAACUACCCAGAAAGGGACGGCUAACUACGUG